rnacentral:rRNA from 1 species
GACGAACGCUGGCGGCGUGCUUAACACAUGCAAGUCGAACGGAAAGGCCCUGCUUUUGUGGGGUGCUCGAGUGGCGAACGGGUGAGUAACACGUGAGUAACCUGCCCUUGACUUUGGGAUAACUUCAGGAAACUGGGGCUAAUACCGGAUAGGAGCUCCUGCUGCAUGGUGGGGGUUGGAAAGUUUCGGCGGUUGGGGAUGGACUCGCGGCUUAUCAGCUUGUUGGUGGGGUAGUGGCUUACCAAGGCUUUGACGGGUAGCCGGCCUGAGAGGGUGACCGGCAACAUUGGGACUGAGAUACGGCCCAGAGUACUACGGGAGGCAGCAGUGGGGAAUAUUGCACAAUGGGCGGAAGCCUGAUGCAGCAACGCCGCGUGCGGGAUGACGGCCUUCGGGUUGUAAACCGCUUUCGCCUGUGACGAAGCGUGAGUGACGGUAAUGGGUAAAGAAGCACCGGCUAACUACGUG